GACAGAGGUGCCGAGCGUUAGGCGGAAUCACUGGGCUUAAAGCGUGUGUAGGCGGAUCGUUAAGUGCCUUGUGAAAUCCCACGGCUCACCCGUGGAACUGCUGGGCAUACUGGCGGUCUUGAGCCACCUAGGGGCAACCGGAACAAACGGUGGAGCGGUGAAAUGCGUAGAUAUCAUUUGGAACGCCAAUGGUGAAAACAGCUCGCUGGGGGUUUGCUGACGCUGAGACACGAAAGCCAGGGGAGCAAACGGG
rnacentral:rRNA from 1 species